rnacentral:rRNA from 1 species
AUUGAACGCUAGCGGGAUGCUUUACACAUGCAAGUCGAACGAGUGGCGGACGGGUGAGUAAUAUAUCUGAACGUGCCCACUAGCGGGGGAUAACUACUCGAAAGAGUGGCUAAUACCGCAUAAUAUGGGAGAGGCCGAGAUCGGAUUAGCUAGUUGGUGGGGUAAAGGCUCACCAAGGCAACGAUCCGUAGCUGGUUUGAGAGGACGACCAGCCACACUAGGACGUAGACACGGCCCAUACUCCUACCGGAGGCAGGAGUGGGGAAUUUUGGACAAUGGGGGAAACCCUGAUCCAGCCAUGCCACGUGUAUGAGAAGGCCUUGGGGUUGUAAAGUACUUUUGGCAGAGAAGCGGUAUCUGCAGAAUAAGCACCGGCUAACUACGUGCCAGCAGCCGCGGUAAUUC